ACCAAUGUUCAUAUGUGCUUGAACCAAUGACUAUAUAUUAUGGCUCCAUAGCUCACCUCCUAAUGGGAAAAAAUAAAGAUACCACUGUCAAAUCAAAACAGCAGCAAACGGGUACAACAAAGAAGAAACGUUCUGGAACUGAUUCAACACAGGUGCGGCAACGAAAAAAAGCUAACGAUAAAAAGGAUAAUAAUAACACUGGCUCUGGUCCCAUGAUGGAUAUUUUAUAUUCUAUGACACAGGUUAGUUUGGUGAAAACAGAUUCAAUAGUUUUUCGACUCCACUGUAACGCAACGGUAAUUUUACUAGUUACAUUUUCAAUCGCUGUUACCACUAGGCAAUAUGUUGGUAAUCCUAUUGACUGUGUUCACACUAGAGAUAUACCUGAAGAAGUAUUGAACACGUAUUGUUGGAUACAUUCAACAUAUAUUGUGGAAAGUGCAAUAUUGAAGAAAGUUGGCAAAGAAGUGGCAUAUCCAGGCGUGGACAAUUCAAAAAUGAGUAAAGGUCCUGUACGACAUGUGAAAUAUUAUCAAUGGGUUGCAUUCAUGCUGUUUUUUCAAGCAAUCCUAUUUUAUACACCCCGUUGGUUAUGGAAGUCAUGGGAAGGAGGUAAAAUACGUGCAUUAAUGAUGGAUUUAGAUGUUGGUAUUUGCUCAGAAAUCGAAAAGAAACAAAAGAAAAAGCUGUUAUUGGAUUAUUUAUGGGAAAAUUUACGGUUCCAUAAUUGGUGGGCGUACAAAUAUUAUUUUUGUGAAUUAUUAGCGUUAAUUAAUGUUGUUGGACAAAUGUUUCUAAUGGAUCGUUUUUUCGAUGGCGAAUUCAUGAAAUUUGGUAUAAAAGUAAUCGAAUUUAUGGAAAGUGAUCAAGAAGAUCGUAUCGAUCCAAUGAUAUUUAUAUUUCCACGUAUGACAAAAUGUACAUUUUAUAAAUAUGGUGUUAGUGGUGAAGUGGAAAAGCAUGAUGCCAUGUGUAUAUUACCAUUAAAUGUGGUUAAUGAAAAGAUUUAUAUAUUCUUAUGGUUUUGGUUUAUAAUCUUAGCGAUAUUAACUGGCAUCACAUGUAUUUAUCGGAUUAUUAUUAUAUUUUCACCACGUAUGCGUGUCUAUUUAUUACGUAUGCGUUUCCGUUUAUUACGUAAAGAUGCUAUUGAAAUUAUUGUGCGACGUAGUAAAAUGGGUGAUUGGUUUUUAUUUUAUAUGUUAGGUGAAAAUAUUGAUUCUGUUAUUUAUCGUGAUGUGAUGCAAGAUUUAGCGACAAAAUUAGGACAUCAUCAUUUACAUCAUAUGCCUGGUAUUAAAGGGAUCGUGUUUGAUGAUUUUGGCGCUAACUGGUGACAGAAAUGUCUUAUAUUAAUUGGUUGAAAAAUAUCAUUGUAUUUAUAUUUCUGUAUGUACAUAUUAAAUUUAAAAAUUUUGCUGAAUGCCAUCUUAAUUAAGAAAAUUAUAUUGCAAAUUAAAGGAUCUAAAAAUUAGUACCUACAUCGGAAACUUGAUGAAAGAUUACUUGCCAUUUUGUUUUACUUUUUCACUAAGCACAUAGUACAACAGCUAAUGUAAAAACAAGAUAAACCCAGUACAGAUUUAUGUGAAAAAUGGAAAAUAUUUUAAAACUUUGUUUCACAAAAUCAACAAGCACUCUCGAA